GGCGAGAUGGCCGAGCGGUCUAAGGCGCUGUGUUAAGGUGACCACCUGUCUUCGAACGGGCUCUCCUCCGCAGUCUUCGGACGUGGGUUCGAAUCCCACUCUCGUCA
rfam:Trichosporon asahii var. asahii CBS 8904 unplaced genomic scaffold scaffold00049, whole genome shotgun sequence.